rnacentral:lncRNA from 1 species
AUGAAGUUUGGCUAUCUCUUUUUCCUGCAGCCUACUCUGGUUUUGUCUUAAGCCAAGUUAAGAUUUUACAGGCUCCUUCACUAGUGAGUCACGGAAACUGUCAUGAGAAUGCUGUACACAUGGCUGCUCACAAGCCCUAGGAAGAUGGAAUCUGGGGAGAGCUGCUGGUGGAAAGGCUGGGAACAGCUCCAGUUCAAAAUCAGAAGUGGUUUUGGGAAGCUGAAAGAUUUGAGGCAGGGAGCAAUUACUGGGCUCGUUGGCAUUGGGGAAAUUUCAACGUCCAGAGAACUUAACCCCUGAUAAAAUCGUGGAACUGAGGAAUAAAACUGUAGGACCAACACUAAACAAGAAUACCUUAUUGCUAUUUCAAAUCCAAGGUAGAUAUAUUGCUAGAGCCAGUAUGUUGAAAAGAAGAAAAAAUAUAGUCCAAGUAGACAUCCCAGGGGAGCUAAUCUCUUUGGGGCAGGAGACUUGA